rnacentral:rRNA from 1 species
UACGUAGGGUGCAAGCGUUGUCCGGAAUUACUGGGCGUAAAGAGUUCGUAGGCGGUUUGUCGCGUCGCUUGUGAAAACCAGCAGCUCAACUGCUGGCUUGCAGGCGAUACGGGCAGACUUGAGUACUGCAGGGGGAGACUGGAAUUCCUGGUGUAGCGGUGAAAUGCGCAGAUAUCAGGAGGAACACCGGUGGCGAAGGCGGGUCUCUGGGCCGAUACUGACGCUGAGGAGCGAAAGCGUGGGGGAGCGAACAGG